GUACUCGCUUCGGCGGUACAUAUACUAAAAUCGGAACGAUACAGAGAAGAUUAGCAUAGCCCUACGCAAGGAGGGCAAAAGUAUGACGUACCCCGCAGUUUU